GGGUGCGAUCAUACCAGCACUAAUGCACCGGAUCCCAUCAGAACUCCGCAGUUAAGCGUGCUUGGGCGAGAGUAGUACUAGGAUGGGUGACCUCCUGGGAAGUCCUCGUGUUCGACUCU
rnacentral:rRNA from 1 species